AUCAGCAGUUCACCAACAUAUAUUUCUCCUACAAGCCAUUCAAUAAAAAUGAUUAUAUGGGUGAAUGUCAUCUUGACCCUCUCAAUUUUGAAAGAUGUUCUGGCAGAUGUUUCAUUAACGGAAUCAGGAGGAGGAGUGAAAACACCUGGAAAUUCUCUUCGACUCACUUGCACAUGCUCUGGGUUCAAUAUUGAUAGUUACUGGGUGCAUUGGGUCCGCCAGGCAGAUGGAAAAGGGCUGGAGUGGAUUGCACGGAUAUAUCAAAGCUCCAUGUAUUAUGCCAACUCUUUUAAAGGUCGAUUCACAAUCUCCAAAGAUAGUUCCAGGAACCUGGUUUAUCUAGACAUGAACGGACUGAAAACUGAAGACACAGCCAAGUAUUACUGUGAAAGGGAACACAGUGGAGAAAAAUGA